UUAAGGACAAUUCUUUCAAUAAGGUCUUUACCCCUUACUUGAAACAGGUGUUCAGGAAAAAAAUGCACAAAAUCCUGACUGACCGGAAUAAUUCGUGAAGAAGGGGCUGGAUCCGUGGGUCAGAGAACACAGGACCAGUUUGCCAUCCCAAGGCCGAAGUCUGGUGUCUCGGAUUUGGCCCUGCGUUGCCCACUCCUGCUGGAUCUUGUCCAUUCGAGGGACAAAACGUCCUGACACCUUCCUGAAGAAUGGGAAGAGAGGAGAUUCUGAAAGCACAGAUUGCAAUACUGUGCCAGAGGCCGAGGAAACCUAUGCCUGGAGGGAUUGCCCCACACCCACAGGAGCACCAAGGAUGCUGGAGCCGGAGACACGCAGGCCCAAGAAGGGUAGAAAUACCAGCAAUGACCAAGGGCCACCCAUAGCAGUUCCCCGGCUGUCCGUCCAGGACCCACCGAAUGGAGGACACGCAGCGGCUCUCCCCUUACAACCACAAAAGCUGAAACAAAGGCCAGAGAAGCUGACGAAGCAGCACGAGUCCAGAAGCUUUCAGAAUCACCCUGAGAAAAUUGUCUGUUGAAUGACAACCAGUUUUACCAAUGUGUGAGAAGAGACCUUACCUCCCCCACUGGGUUCCAUCCUAUCUGGAUGCCCUUCCUUGUGGACUUCGGAGAUCUCAUAUCUACCUUUAAGCAUGCAGUUCCUGCUUCAGCUGUGGUAGUUCUGGUUAACCUUCUCUGUGAGAAAAUGUUCAUUUUUUUUUUCUCCCUCCACAUGCUGGAUUGAACUGUCUUACCUGAAACUGGGUCAUUUUGGGUCAUUUUAGGCUAGAAGCACCUCUGGACAUUCUCGUUUCUCAGAAGUUGCCAAGUUCAUGUCACACUUGUUUCAUUUGUGAACAGGGGUCCACUUCUGACAGAUGUUACCUGGCCUGAGCAGUGUGUCUCCUGUUGGCUCCUUGGUACUUUUCUCCCCUUCUCCACCCUGUCCCAGGUGAGACUGACUCAGUGGCAACCCUACCUUUGCUGGUGAGGACCGUAUAUGUGGCAGACGGCCUUUGGCUGGAGGUGUGAGAGAAAGUGUGGUCUGGUGGAACCAACAUCUUUGGCAAUUUGGAGGCCACUGGAGCAGGACUUUAUUCCUGGGAGAAGGUAGUUUCAGAGAGGCCAGCCCUUAUCUCCGUGUGCCCCCUGGUUCUACCCUCUUAACUCUUAGUCUUGCCUUUUAGUGCCUUUCUUAAUCCAGGGUAGUUUCUCUUUUCUUUCUUCAACUAGAAGCAACUUUUGUUGUUAUUUUCAUUAUUGCAAAGCAGCACAUGCUUAUGACAAAGACGUCAGAAAGGGAGACAAACCAAAGAAGGAAAAACCAGCCCCAAAUCCUACUUGCCUCAAAGGCAACCAUUGAGACUCUGUUGAAGAACCUUCCAGAUCCCUUUCUAGGCAUAUAGUAUCGUAUAUAUAUAUAUUAAUAUAUAUCAUAUAUCACUAUGACUUCUCAUAUUGUGAUGUCAUGAUACCACAUAUAUUCUUUGAUAACAUAUGUUGUCAUUUAAUGUCUUAUAAUGAACAGCUUUUCUAUAUCAACAAACUUUUUAAAAAAUGGUUAAGUAAUGUCUUUAAUUACAGAAGAGAAAACUGAGGACAAAAUGGAAAGUAAUUUACAAAAAAAGGAGGAUGCUAAGUCAUUUGGUAUAAGGGAAUAAAGCCAAGCAGAUGCAGCUCAAAGCAUGCACACCCCCAUUUUUCUGGGCCAUGAGUUAUAUGAGUCUAUAGCAAUUGUAAUGUAAGAGUACUCAAUUAUAGAGCUAUCCCAUCAUUUAUUUACUUAAUCUCAUAUGGUUCAAUGUUUAGGUUGUUUCCAACUUUUCUCUACUUUAAGCAGCAUUAAUGAGCAUGGCUCUGGUUUAAUCUACCUACAGUUAUUUCCUUGAAGUAAAUGCCCAGAAGGAGAUCAAAGGACAGUUAGUGAAAGCUACAAAGACCUCCAAGUAUGCAACCAGCAUUAACUGCUUGGUACCAAAAUGUGUUAAAGGCUGGGCCACUGGAAGGCUGCACACACCGUUUCUAAGGUGACAUCACACAUCCAUGCUUGGGUAACUCUGGCCUCAUUUCCCUUGCCCAGAACAGAAGGCACCCACAAUGACGUCUAAAGUAAGCAGAUGGUGAAAGAGGAAGUGACGUUGUCUCUUUGGGUUGGCUACUUGGGUAUAUCUCAUGAUUCCUCAUUGGAUGCUGAGAGGUAGUCAUUCAUUCAUUCAUUCAUUACCCACUUACGGAGCAGCCACUGUUGCAAGGUGUCAAGCUGGAGUCUGAGACGACAAAGAUGAAUUAAACAGGGACUCCAUCCUCAGGAAGAUCACAGCCUGGAAAAGGUCAAUGAUGAAUAACACACAUUUACUCCACAGUAUAGUAAGGGGAGAAAAAUGUAAAUUCAGUUAUACAUCUCAGGGCAGAAAAAUUGGAACAAUCGGAAAGUCUCAGAGGAAAAACAUGAAAAUCACACAUAAUCCACUGGCCUAUUCGUGACAGCUAUCUUUUUCAAGUGUGUCCUUUGAGGCUUGCUGGCUUGUGGUCAUCCUCACUGGGUGCAGCCUCCUUGAAGGCAUUGUCUGUGUCCUUCAUCUGCACCUCCAGAGACUCUGGCACCAUCUUAGACAACUUAUUCAGAAAUCUGUUCAAUGUGAAAUCCAAAUGGGAAGAAACAAAAUUAAAG